AACGAACGCUGGCGGCAGGCCUAACACAUGCAAGUCGAGCGGUAACACAGGGAGCUUGCUCCUGGGUGACGAGCGGCGGACGGGUGAGUAAUGUCUGGGAAACUGCCUGAUGGAGGGGGAUAACUACUGGAAACGGUAGCUAAUACCGCAUAACGUCGCAAGACCAAAGAGGGGGACCUUCGGGCAUCUUGCCAUCAGAUGUGCCCAGAUGGGAUUAGCUAGUAGGUGGGGUAACGGCUCACCUAGGCGACGAUCCCUAGCUGGUCUGAGAGGAUGACCAGCCACACUGGAACUGAGACACGGUCCAGACUCCUACGGGAGGCAGCAGUGGGGAAUAUUGCACAAUGGGCGCAAGCCUGAUGCAGCCAUGCCGCGUGUAUGAAGAAGGCCUUCGGGUUGUAAAGUACUUUCAGCGGGGAGGAAGGUGUUGAGGUUAAUAACCUUAGCAAUUGACGUUACCCGCAGAAGAAGCACCGGCUAACUCCGUGCCAGCCGCCGCUGUAACAC
rnacentral:rRNA from 1 species